rnacentral:rRNA from 1 species
GUGAGUAAUGCACAGAUAAUCUACCUUUUUGAUCGGGGCAACCUCGGGAAACCGUGGCUAAUUCCGGAUAAGUCCUAGGAAACAUAAAGUCUUCUAGGGGAAAGUUGGCCUCUACUUGUAAGCUAGCGCGAAAAGAUGAAUCUGUGUCCCAUCAGCUUGUUGGUAAGGUAAAAGCUUACCAAGGCUAAGACGGGUAGCUGGUCUGAGAGGACGAUCAGCCACACUGGAACUGAAACACGGUCCAGACUCC